GAGCAAGAGCUUGUUUCCUGUGCAGCGACCGCGCACUGGAACAUGAACGCCCAGAGAGGUUGUGGAGACUCCCUCGCUGGAGCUAUUCAAGAAGGGUCUGGACGCAAUCCUGCGCCAUGUGCUGUGGCACGGCCCUGCUGGAGCAGGGAGUCUGGACCAGAUGCCCCACAGCGAUCCCUUCCAGCCUGACGCACCCUGUGACUCUGAGAGGGGCGUGGGGGAGGUUUGGCAGCGGGAAUGUCGGGAACAGGGAAGGGUGUCAGUCCGGGAAGCCGAGGAGCGAGUCCUGCGAGAUUCCACCGGAUAAAUAAAGCCCGGAUUCUCCACGAAGAGCCCUUAGAGUGCCACAGGUUGCAUGGAGAAGGAAGGGAGUGGUGAGCAGGUUCCCGAGCCGGCAGAGUGACUCGCUGUGUUUGUGCAUCCCCGGUAUCGGAGCAGACAGCAAUCACCUUGGGGAGCUGAUUGCAGUGAGUCAAGAGAGGGCCUCCUUCCCCCAAGCUAAACAUGCGGGGACGGUUCAAAACCUGUCUUUGUUGAGCAGUUGCCCUACUGUAGAAAUUUUUGUUUUGAAUGAGCAAAGCACUUAGUUAAUUUAGGGGAGGAAUGGUUACUUAAAGGGGGCAAUAAAAUCUUUCUUGAUCCUCUGACUAACUUCAUGGUUCUAGUAAUGUUGUCUUGUAAAACUCAAGCCCUUUCAAUCAUCACUUUAAAGCAAGUUUAAUAUUUAUGGAUCGCAAGAAUGGUUGUACAGGAUUAAAUUAACUAUCAUGUUCUGCUUGCAGAGCUGCCUGGCAGGACGUGUUCUGACAGACAGGCCCUGUCUCCACAUGAAACCUUUUGGAGUAAAUUGUUAUAUUUAGAAAAAUGUGUCUACAUCCCUUCACCAUGAAAAAUUCUAGAACUUACAGCACCUGAUAUCUUUGCAGAGAAAAAUCUAUUUAAUUUAAUAUGCAUUCAGCCUAGGCACUGUGAAACUUUUCCAAGCAUGAGGGUCAUUACAAGCCUGAACAGGUCUUCUGUGAGACAGUUCACUGGCAACAGAUUUCAGAGAGGAUAUCAAGCAAAGACGAGACAGGAAGCCAAAUCCUAAAAGGCAUUAUUGGGUAAAGGAAGCUAGGCAUUUGCAGUGACUGAGCUAAAAGCCUUAAUCUUACCAGUGAUUUACAUGGAGGACGUAUCUUCACAUCCACCUGGAAGGAACAGGGAAGAAACACCAGGUAUUAAAACCCAUGUCCACAAACAGAACACAUACGGAAACACGUAUGGAAAGUGUCAUUCAUAAGGGAGCGGUAACUGGGAACUUAGUUGAACUCUGCUCUGUUUGUGGCCAAGUAACACAUUCAGAAUUUGCUACAUAUUUUUUCCUGAAUAAAUCACAUGACAGGUUGAUUCAAAUUUCUGUAAUGUUUUAUAUUCAAAAAUUUACCUUGAUUAGCACAUUCCCAGGAUCCUUCUUUAGCUCCACAUUUCAAAGAAAUAAUCAUGUUUCACAGUCUGUCUCCAUUGAAUCAUUCCCUAGGCAUGCUGAGUCUGAUCCAGAAAUCCAUCCUAUCUACCAACAUUUGAUACAUGGUUUCCCAAAACUGAGACUUGAUGAGCAGUUAAAGACUGAAAGCCUUUGCAUGUUGCUCACAAAACUAUUUCUUAAUAAUGGCUGUCUGCAGCAGAUAAAGAUGCACAAUUUGUGGGGUGGGUGAGUCCUGGUCUGGAAGCUGGAGCUAGCAGCCAGGCAGAUGUGGGGGAGACCUGCAGCUCUGCAUUCCAGACUGCAUGUGCUCCCCUUCCUGCCCUGCCCUCUCAAAAACCCAGCCUAAACUGCUUUUCCCUGAUCAAACCGCAAGUUGUAGGAUGCAGACUCCAAUUUCUCCUAGGCUGUAGGCAAGCACCACACCUGGUUCUGCUCCAGAAACACCAGGUACUCAAAAUGGGAGAACACAAGUAGCAAUCCAAAGCUUAACACAAAGAUCCAAAACACCAUGGAGGUCCCAGACUGGUGCUCCACCCAUUGACGUACUCAGAAAAUCUUUCUACACCAUGGUAAACUGUUUCCCUCCCACUUUGCCUGGUGUGGAGGUAGAGCAAGACAGGGAAAACAGCUUCAGUGGGAGCCAAUUCAAAAGUUGCUGGGGAAGGGAGGUUGAAAGGGAGGGCUCAUUAGAAAUCAGAGGAGUGAAGAGUAGAUAAACAUCACUUUGUUUUUUUCAGAGUGGAAAGUACCAUGCCGAGCCCCGACCAUUUUCAGUUCCCAAGUUCCCACAGUCAGGAUCCUAGUGUCUUCUCUGGGAGAGCCCUAUUUUCUUCUGACAUUUCUCUGCAGCAUCUGUGUGGAUGAUGGCUCUCUGUAAAGAAUAAAUGUGCUGUGAUGAUUCUGCA